rnacentral:rRNA from 1 species
GACGAAGGAUGCAAGCGUUAUCCGGAUUCAUUGGGUUUAAAGGGAGCGUAGGUGGCCUUAUAAGUCAGUGGUGAAAUCUCUGGGCUUAACCCAGAAAUUGCCAUUGAUACUGUAGGGCUUGAGUAUAGUUGCCGUUGGCGGAAUAUGACAUGUAGUGGUGAAAUACAUAGAGAUGUCAUAGGACACCGAUUGCGAAGGCAGCUAACGAAACUAUAACUGACACUGAGGCUCGAAAGUGCGGGGAUCAAACAGG